UCAAUUUGAUUUGUUGAAGUAAAAUUAUUAAUUUUGUUUAAGGUUAAUUUGUAGUUUUUUAUAAAUAUAUUUAAGGUUUAAUAAGUUGAGUAGGUUUUAUUGAAAAUUUUUAAGUUUAAUAGUUGAGAGUACUGUGAGGGAAAGGUUGAAAUAUUUUUUUAUUGGGGGAAAGAAAGAUUUUGUACCUUUUGUAUCAGGGUUAAUUAAUUGAAUUUCAUAAAUUUAUGUAAAUCUCGAAUAGGAAAGAGUUAUUUUUAUAUUUAAUUUAAUGUUGAAUAAUUAUUUAUAAUAUGAAAAUGGAAAUGAAAUGUUAUUCGAUUUCUUAUAUAUCUAGUUUUCAAAGAGAUAAAUUUAAUUUAGAUUUAAAUUGGGGUAGUUUACAAUUAGUGUUAAGCUAUUUAUUUUAAAUUAAAAUUUUUGGGGAUAAGCUUGAGAUUUAAAAUUAUAUUUUUAGUUAGUUUAGUAUUUGUAGGCUUGAAAUUAGCUAUCAAUUUAAAUAUGUUAUAAUUUAUUAGGGUUAUUUAAUUUUGGAGUGGAUUAAUUUUUUUAUUUGAAAAAUAAAAUUAAUUAUGGUUUUAUGAUAUAAUGAUUGAAUUAGUAAAUUGAAUAUUAAGUAGGAUAAGUAAUUUUAUUGAAUGGGGAAAAAUUAAGUUAAGGAAUUAGGCAAAAUUUAUUGUUCGCCUGUUUAUCAAAAACAUGUCUUUAGGAAGUUAUAUAAAGUCGGUCCUGCUCACUGAUAAGUAUUAAAGAGCCGCGGUAUUUUGACCGUGCAAAGGUAGCAUAAUCAGUAGUCUUUUAAUUGGAGGCUGGGAUGAAUGGUUUGACGAAACAAAAGCUGUCUUAAUUUAAUUAAUUGAAUUUUAUUUUUAAGUUAAAAAGCUUAGAUUUUUAAAAGGGACGAGAAGACCCUAUAGAUUUUUAUAUUACUGUUGUUAUUUUGAGUGGAUAUAAUUUAGUGAUGGUAGUAUUUGAUUGGGGUGAUAUAAGAAUUAUAAAACUUCUUUUAAAUUAAACGAAGUUAAUUGGAUAUGUGAUCUUUUAUUAGAGAUUAAAAGAUUAAAAUACCUUAGGGAUAACAGCGUAAUUUCAUUUGAGAGUUCAAAUCGAGAAUGGAGAUUGCGACCUCGAUGUUGGAUUAAGAAUAUUUUUUGGUGCAGUAGUUAAAAUAAUAAGUCUGUUCGACUUUUAAAUUCUUACAUGAUCUGAGUUCAAACCGGUGUAAGCCAGGUUGGUUUCUAUCUUUUUAUGAUUUUUAUAUUUUAGUACGAAAGGACCAAAUAUAGGAAAUAGUUUUUUUUUGUUGAUUUAUAUU
rnacentral:rRNA from 1 species